rnacentral:ribozyme from 13 species
GAAUAACAGAAAACAUAAGAACAAAAGAAUAUAAAAAAUAUGUGAAGUGUAUCGAAAUAGAAAUAAUAUUUAGUCCUUUUAGUUUUUUGCACUUUGGUAAAACGAACUUUUUUUUUUUUUUUUUUUUUUUUUUU